GGGCAGGUGGCCGAGUCUGGCUAAGGCACCGGACUGUAAAUCCGAGGUCGCCUCGUGCGUGGUGGUUCAAAUCCAUCCCUGCCCA
rnacentral:tRNA from 1 species